AUUGGACGCUGGCGGCAGGCCUAACACAUGCAAGUCGAGCGGAUGAAGGGAGCUUGCUCCUGGAUUCAGCGGCGGACGGGUGAGUAAUGCCUAGGAAUCUGCCUGGUAGUGGGGGAUAACGUCCGGAAACGGGCGCUAAUACCGCAUACGUCCUGAGGGAGAAAGUGGGGGAUCUUCGGACCUCACGCUAUCAGAUGAGCCUAGGUCGGAUUAGCUAGUUGGUGGGGUAAAGGCCUACCAAGGCGACGAUCCGUAGCUGGUCUGAGAGGAUGAUCAGUCACACUGGAACUGAGACACGGUCCAGACUCCUACGGGAGGCAGCAGUGGGGAAUAUUGGACAAUGGGCGAAAGCCUGAUCCAGCCAUGCCGCGUGUGUGAAGAAGGUCUUCGGAUUGUAAAGCACUUUAAGUUGGGAGGAAGGGCAGUAAGUUAAUACCUUGCUGUUUUGACGUUACCAACAGAAUAAGCACCGGCUAACUUCGUG
rnacentral:rRNA from 1 species